AAAAGAAUCCAGCAGCUCCUCAUCCUCUGACUUAGUGAUUUUAUCCCAAAAAGGCAAAUAAAUAGAGUCAAACUAAUACCUGCAUCUAUUUAAUCACAUAGACCAACAAACCCAUCAAAAAUACCAAAUUAUAUGACUAAAAUAGUCACAUUUUUAUAGGUUAUUCGGCACAAAUAAUAAACCCAUCAAAUUCCCCCACACUUAAUAUUUGCUUGUCCUCAAAGAAAAACUCAAUCUACACAAAAGGAGAUUCACCCAACUCUUCACAACUCUUAUAAGAACAUCUUUAGAAAAGCAACCUUAAUUACAAAAGUAAAGCUGAGUUGAAUAUUCAAAUCUGAAAUCUAUGGAGAAUAAAGAAUUGAAUUUACAUUCUUUCAAACAUAAUAGACUAGGCUUGAACUUUGUAAUUUUAAACAUGCAAUUUAAAUUCCAUAUCAAUUAAACCAUUGCUUAAAGAAUUAUUUGUUAAACAGCUUGGUCACAGAAAAUCAUUGCAAUCGCACACAAAACAAAUAAUGCUGAACUUUUAUUUUUUUUUUUUUGUUGAUUUUUUUUUUGUGCUUGAACAUUUAUCAAUUGCCUAAAAAAAAAAAAAAAAGAGAAGGUAAAAUUAAUUCAAGGAUUGAAGAAUGCCCUUAUGGAUGAUGAAUUGGGUGUAGAAGGGUGUUUCUCUCCUACGCAGAAGAUUGAGAUAGAAAUUAUAUGUUGAAUCAUGGUACAUUUCUUGUACAAUUAAGUAAAAUUAAUGAAAGUAAACCAAAAAAAGAAAAAAGUUUUGUCACAAUGUAGAAUUAGAAAGGAAGAUUGAAAAUAAGUUAUGUGUGUAUUAGAAAUUUAACUAUGAUUCAUUCAAGCCUCAUAUAUUAUGUCAAAAAGAAUAACUACAUUCAAUAAUUUAUUCUAAAUGGAUGAGAUAAUAGCUACCAAAUUAACUUUACUUAAGUAAUUAAGAGGGUUUUUCUAUUGAAUUCAAAGGGCUGUUCUAAGUUAAGAUAAAAUUCCCUAAUCAUCAGAAUUUCAGCUACCCAAAAUCAAUAUCAAAUUCAAGCAAAUAUUAGAACAAAUUACUCACAUUUUAACAAGACCCAACAAAAUUGCUGCUGAUUAUUACAAUACCCAGCAAAAUUUAACCAAAACAAUUAGCAAUUGAACCCAAAUUUCAUAUUAAUGAUUUUUCUACUCAAAAUUCCCUCCCCCACAUUUAAAUUACAUUGUCCCAAUGUAAUACCCAACACAAAUCCAAGCUGUUUAUACAAUAAUUGGAAUUUAUGUCCAAGAAAACUUACCUAAACUGCUGGACUUGUGAUCUAAAACCAAAACAGGGGACGCAUCUAUUGGGUACAAAACCUUCGAACACUGCUACUAGAAGAAGAGGGAAUGGCUCCGAAGCUACUGAUUGGGCUCUAUUUUUGCUGGCGUUGGGCGAUCUGAACAGAGACUGAACAAUCUCUGCUUCGCGUGGGGGAUAGAGUCUGGGAAUGUCGGCUGAAUGAAAUUCACUUCUCCUUUUCUUUUCUUUUGUUCUCACCUUACUCACGUGCUGUAUAUAUGAGUCAAAAACAAAAUAGGAGAACAUAAUAUAAUAAGAAAAAGCCCACACUUUACGCUUAUAAGGCCUAUUAAAAUUUCAUAUUCCAUUAAACUCUCCCAAGGAAAG
rnacentral:lncRNA from 1 species